rnacentral:lncRNA from 1 species
UUUUUUUUUUUUGGUUAUUUUCCUUUCCUGGGGAUCUAAUCUUAGAGCGGAAACUUGUCAUUUUACUUUUAGAAAUUCAAACCCCCAGCUCAAUUUGGACAUCAAUGGAGGUGUGAUGUCUGAACGAGGAAGAAGAGGAAUGGAGAAGGAAGACCGACAAAACUAGGGAUAUUUCGAUAUAACCUAGGAUAUAUGUCGGGUGUUCUUUUAUUUAAAGGAGCUUUGGAUAUUUAAUCACAAUCACAUAUCUUUUCCUGAUGGAUCAAAUCUGGACCCUUGAUUUAUUUAACUAGUAUAAGCUUCUUACCUCACCAGAAAAUCACGUGAGGAAAUAUUGUUGGUUAGAAUAGAAUUUUGCUGUUACAAUUAGACAAAUACAAAUAGGACAAGUGUAAAUAGUAUUUUCUUUUUCUUUAUAUACUAUUCAAUACUCAAUUGUAUAUAUAUACAUAUGUACAAAUAAUUGAAUGAAGACACAGAAAAUUUCUCUAACUCUUCAGUCAUCUAUUUUCUUCGAUUCUGCAUAGCUGAAUCUUCAAAAUCCUUCAUGGUAUCAGAGCAUUAAACUCGAUCCAACAAUAAUCAUCAAUCACCAAAUUCUAUCCUACAACUCCAAGUGAAGGAAGAUGCCUACAACUGAUGAAACCAUAGCUGCAGAUAUUGGGAACACUCCUAAGGCAGCAGGAUAUGGCAUUAAUCACCCAUAUCAUCUUAACAACUCAGAUUCACCUGGGAUGACCCUAGUCAACACUGUGUUUGAUGGAAGAGGUUAUCCAGGAUCUAAGAGAUCCAUUCUUCUAUCCAUAUCAGCCAAGAAGAAACUUGGAUUCAUCAAUGAGACUUGCAAGGCUCCAGAUCUGAACUCAGCUGAAUAUGAGCAGUGGAGCUGUGUCAACAAUAUGGUUACAUCUUGGAUUCUAAAUGCACUGUCAAAAGAGAUUGCUGACAGUGUCAUAUACUCAAAAACAGCUAAGGAACUCUAGGACAGUUAGAAAGAUUUGGCAAAUCAAAUAGUGCUAAACUUUUUCACCUGCAAAAAAGAGUUGUCAAGUUUAACACAAGGUAAUAGUGAUAUUGUUGGAUAUUUCACCAAACUUAAGAGACUGUGGGAUGAAUUAGAUGCACUAAGUAUAAUCAUAACUUGUUCAUAUGUGUGUCUGUGUGAGGGAAAAGCUAAGCUGACUAAGUCUUUGGAAGAUCAAAGGUUGAUUCAAUUUUUGUUGGGAAUGAAUGAUGUAUAUGCACAAGCUAGAAGAAACAUUCUUAUGAUGAGUCCUUUACCUAGCAUGGACAUUGCAUAGUCACUACUUUUGCAGGAUGAGAACCAAAGGGAAAUAUAUGCAAAUGCACAUUUCAGUUCAGAUUCUGCAUCUUUCAUGGUGGCUGGACAACGAAAACAACCAAAUGGACAGAUUUUUGCUGAAUUUGCAGCUUUCAUGGUAGCAGGACAAGGAAGGAAUAAUCAAAGGUUCAGAAAUCAGGCCCCUAGAGGACCAGUGACUGCUCAAAAAUUCAGCAACUCAUCUCAAAAGGUUCCAAGGCCACAACAGAAAUUCAGAGGGAAGAAGAAAUAUAAUCCUAAUCUAUUUUGUACCUAUUGUGGGAAAAUAGGACAUACACAAGAGGACUGCUACAGACUGAUUGGGUUCCCAGAUGAUUUUGAAUUCACUAACCCAAAGGCCUAUCAAAACCAUGUCAAGGCAAAUGUGGCAACAACACAUGAGGAAGAUAAUGCAAUAGGGCGGAACAAUGAAACCAACAGUAGCAGUCUUUGACAAUAUUUCAGCAAGGAACAAAUUGCAGAGAUGAUGGAGAUAUACAAACAGACAAAAUUAGCACAAACUGGAAGUUCAGGAAUUAAUACAAAUGUUGUGGCUGGUACUAUUCUGAAAUACUCAGGAUUAGUGUUUACAAGUUUGAAAUCAGAUUCUUGGAUAAUUGAUUCUGGAGCAUCAGAACAUAUAUGUUUUGACCCCAAUUCUUUCUUGUUUCUAAUUCCACUCCAUGUACCUUUGAAUAUUAAUUUACCUAGCUCUUUCAAGGUAAGUGUUACUCAUAUAGGGAGUAUUUCCAUUUUGCCAGGUUAUGUUUUGACUAAUGUUCUUCAUGUGCUAGAUUUUGAAUAUAACCUGUUAUCUAUUCAUAAGUUCUGUGUGCAAUUCAAGUAUGAUCUUCUACGUACAUCUAGUGGGUGUCUGUUGCAGGGCUUUCAAUGAGGAGUCCUCAAGUUUUUGGUGAAGUUAGAGAAGGUCUCUACCUGUCAGAACCCACUAAUUUCAAGUCUAGAAGUAUGCUUAGUAGUGAUGUAAUUUCAUUUCCAAAAGGAAGAAAUUCCAGUUUUAGGUCUGUUUUAUGUUCCAAGUUAGUUCAUGUUAAUGUGAUACCUGAUGUAAAGCUUUGGCAUGAAAGGUUGGGUCAUGUUCCAAUUUCAGCAAUGAAACAUUUACAUUUCUUUCAUUGUGCUUCAAAUUCUGAUUUUAUUUGUGAUAUAUGUCCUAAAGCUACACAGACUAGGAAUCAUUUUUCCAUCAGCAACAUAAAAUCCAAGCAUGUUUUUGAUCUUAUACAUAUUGAUACUUGGGGACCUAAUAAAUCUAGCACUUAUAAUGGUUUCAAAUAUUUCCUCACUAUUGUUGAUGACUACAGUAGAGGAACCUGAACAUUCUUGUUAAGUGCUAAAAGCAAUGGUUUUCCUAUUCUUAAGAGCUUCCUAUCUAUGAUGCAGAGACAAUUCAAUGUGAAGGUUAAGAUUAUAAGAUCUCACAAUGCUUUGGAAUUGGGAAAAUGGACACAAAAGGCAGAUUUUCUUGCAUCAAAAGGGAUAAUACAUCAGUUAACUUGUGUUGGUACUCAUCAACAAAAUGGAAUUGCUGAGAGGAAGCACAUGCAUCUUCUACAGGUUGUAAGGGGAUUAAUGUUCUAGUCUAAACUACCUAUGUCAUAUUGGGGAGAGUCUAUUCUGACUGCAAUACACAUCAUAAAUAGAUUGCCUUCCAGAGUACUAAAUGGUAAGACUCCAUUUGAAGUCCUUUUCAAACAAAAGCCUAAAUAUGAUUAUUUGAGGAAUUUUGGAAGCCUUAGAGGAUUUUUUCUAGAGAUGUUAAAUUUUUUUAGUCACAUUUUCCUUUUGCCAAAGCUAAACCUACCCACAAUCCUAUUUUUUUAGAUUCCCCCUUUUCUUUAGAUUCUAACUCCUCUCAACCUAUACAUGCAGAAUUAUCAUCUACAGUAGAUAUGGAUCUUCACAAUCCAACCUCUACACCAUCACCUUCUUUUCAACCUAACUCUUCUGAUUCAUACAUCACACUCACUUCUCAUCAGCGUGUUUCUCAUGUUCCUUACACUAGUCCUCACAUAUACCCAACCAAAUCUCCUAUCUCUGCACCUAGACAUGAAUUUUCAUUAAGGAGGUCUGAUAGAAUCACACAACAGCCAGUGUAUCUUAAGAACUAUGUGUGUAACAUUAUCAUGUUUGCUGAUUUGGACAGGGCAUGUUUUUCUUAUCUACUAGGCCUAGUGCCUACUCCUUUUCAUCUCUAACUAUAAAUAAUCAACAUCUCGUUCAGUCCCUAUCUACUUUAAAUGAACCUAAUAGUUAUGAACAGGCUUCUCAACAUCCAGGUUGGAGAAAAGCCAUGGAAUUAGAAAUUCAAGCAUUGCAAGACAGUCAAACUUGGGAAGUGGUUGAGUUGCUUAAAGGUAAGAAGCCAUUGCCUUCUAAAUGGGUUUAUAAGGUAAAUCACUUGUCUGAUGGGACCAUUGAAAGAGUAAAAGCAAGACUUGUAGUAAGGGGGGAUAUCCAAAGAGAGGGCAUAGACUACAGUGAAACAUUUUCUCCAGUAGUCAAAAUGACAACUAUAAGAUGUCUUCUUGUUGUUUCAUCAAAAAGGGGUUGGGAUGUGUCUCAAUUAGAUGUGAAUAAUGUAUUUUUAAAUGGAGAUUUACAAGAGGAAGUGUACAUGAAAUUUCCAACGGGACUCGCCCCUUCUAGUCCUACUCAUGUUUGUCUGUUGAAAAAGUCUUUAUAUGGAUUGAAGCAAGCUUCACGGCAGUGGUAUGCCCGGCUUGCAGGGGCAUUAAGUUUCAAAGGAUAUUCAUCAUCAUUGAAUGAUUAUUCUCUGUUUUCCAAGAAAACAGGACGUCUCAUAUCUAUUUUAGUAGUUUAUAUCGAUGAUAUAUUAUUAACAGGGGAUGAUAUACAAGAAAUUCAAAAUGUCAAAGAAUUCCUCAAUUCUGAGUUCAAGGUAAAAGACUAAGGAGACAUACAUUAUUUUCUUGGACUAGAAAUUUUGCGAGAAAGUAAUGGUUUUAUUAUCAGUCAACGCAAAUUUACCUUGGAUAUGCUCAACGAAUUUGAUGUCUCUCAUUUGCCUUGUGCAACUUCCCCUCUGGAUCCAUGUUCUAAGCUUCAAGCAGAUGAUGGUCCUCUCAUGGACAAUCUCACUCUUUAUCGGCACUUGGUUGGCAAGCUGAAUUAUCUUACCAACACAUGCCCAGAUCUCUCCUUCGAUGUUCUCAUUUUGAGUCAAUACAUGCAACGCCCUUGCUUGUCACAUUUCUUUGCGGCUUUAAAGGUUCUUAAAUAUCUGAGUGCUAAUCAUGGACAGGGGAUUCGGUUAUCCUCUAUACCAAAUUUUUCUCUCCUUGCUUUUUGUGAUGCCGACUGCCGAAGCCGAAUAUCGCUCUAUGAGGAGAGUCACUGCCGAGCUAACCUGGCUUGUACGUCUUUUUGAUGACCUCUCCACUCCUAUUACUCUUCCAAUUCCCCUUCACUCAGAUAGUAAAACAUCCAUUCAUAUUGCCCAUAACCCUGUCUUCCAUGAACGCACAAAGCACGUCGAGCUUGACUGUCACUCUUUUUCAUAGUGCGUCAACAAUUUCUUUCUGACCUAAUUACUCUUUUUUUGUGCCAUCCAAAGAUCAGUUGGCCGACUUAUUCACAAAGCCUUUUCUGUGGUUUCUCAUAAAGGGAUUCUAAGCAAGUUGGGGGUCACUACACUCCCCUUCAACUUGAGGGGGAUGGUAGAAAUUUAAAACCCCAGCUCAAUUUGGACAUCAAUGGAGGCAUGAGGUCUAAACGAGGAAGAAGAGGAAAGGAGAAGGAAGACUGACCAAACUAGGGUUAUUUCGAUAUAACCUAGGAUAUAUGUCGGGUGUUCUUUUAUUUAAAGGAGCUUUGGAUAUUUAAUCACAACCACAUAUCUUUUCCUGAUGGAUCAAAUAUGGACCCUUGAUUUAUUUAAUUAGUAGAAGCUUUUUACAUCACCAGAAAAUCACGUGAGGGAAUAUUGUUGGUUAGGAUAGAAUUUUGCUAUUACAAUUAGACAAUUCAAAUAGGACAAGUAUAAAAAGUAUUUUCUUUUUCUUUAUUUACUAUUCAAUACUCAAUUGUAUAUAUAUACAUAUACAAACAAUUGAAUGAAGACACACAAAAAAUUUCUCUAACUCUUCAGUCAUCUAUUUUCUUCGAUUCUAUAUAGCUGAAUCUUCAAAAUCCUUCAUUUACAAAGGAGAACUAUUCGUCAAAAGCUUAUGGAUUACAGAGCUUCAUGCCAACCUUGAUUUAAUCUUUUUGCUUACGUAAUAAAUAUUUGAAUACCCAUGUUUCAGAUAUGGAGAAAAAGCAAGCUUUGUCUUGUGAAUUGUAAUUUUUCAAUUUGAGGAAUUCUUCUUUUAGCGGGAAAUCAACAAGCAACUUUUCCAUUUUUUAUUUGAAAACAAUCAACUGAAGCCUACAAAAAUGAAGCAAUCUCAAGAAAACUAUUUACUGUAAAAAUAGUAAUAACAAUUAAAUUUGGUUUAGUGGUUCUAAAAAUACGUGAUCUAUUUUUAUGCUAGUUGUUAAGCAGUUGAGGCUAUGUGAAAGACUUAGAAACGAGAUAAGAGCUUGAGAGCAGGGUGAUAACCAAACCGAAUGAUUAAUAAUCAGGGCCUCGAGCUUGCCUAUUCAAGGGCCUCGGGGUCAAGUCUGAAGCUCGGUUGGGAGUUGUCGAGGGGCAACUAACAGUUACGAUAAAUCAAUGGCGGCAAUUUAUGGCCAAUAAUAAGCAAUAAAUAAUGAACAAUAAAUAGAACACAAUAAAUAUAAGCAAUAAAUGAAGUAUUGAAAUCAAGAGAGUAUGUUAGAUAAUAGAGAUAAUGUUCUUGUGUAUUUAGUAUUAAGCAACAGAUGUUUACAAAAUGAUAAGGUUCCCCUUUAUAUAUGAGAAAAAAUUCCAACAUAGUACAAAUGCAUUUAUUACAAAGAUAUGGGGAUGAGACAGCUAGUUGAUGCCAUGAUAACUUAGCUCACUAGACUUUGUCAGCUCUAGUUGUGCGCCUUGAGAACUCCCCACUUUCUCCCCGUAACCGUUGGUCCGUACUACUCUAAGGUCGAGCGUCGAUGGCCAUUGAGGGAUGAAACUCAACUGUGGUUUUGAGCCUUCGAGACGUCGUAAUGAUGGAAAAUUGGACCCUCUGAUUUUACCGCAUACAUAUAGUCCCCGCGUUUCUUAGAGUAGAAUUUCUUAGAAACGACCUUGAUAACCAUCUUUCUGAAUUUCCCGCGAUAAUGUUUUACUGAUGACGUCAUACUUAUGACAUAAGCCUUUGUGACAGCUGAGGCAUCCCGCUGACUCAUCUUUUCAGCGCCUUUCAAUGUACUACCGGUUCUCGUCCUUCUAAGAGAUAAUAUCUCCGCCGAUUCAGUUCAAAAAAUGCAUUGAUUGGGCAUGCCGAUACGUCUUUCAAGGACAUUGAUGGCGCCGUCGGUUGUAUUUUUUAAAACGUAUUGAUUGUGCCUGCCGGUUACUCUGCCCUUUCUCUAUAAAUGGGAGCUUUCUGGAAAUAAUUCUUUAUUCAAGUGUUCUCAGAUUAGCCUUUCACCCUUCUCUUCUCCUCAUCCUCAUCCGUCAUUAUCCCUUAUGAUUAAGGCCAGCGGCCUUAAGGUUAAAUGACGGCGUUCUCUUCAGCCUUGCCAUGGCCUUUUUUCCUGGACUUUCCCUUGGCGAGCGAGAUUACUCUGACUUGUCGUCGUCGUUGUUGUUGUUCUUACUGUCAUUGUUGGCUCGAGAUGAUGAGACAGGGGGCCGAUUUAUUCUGACUUAGGAAGAUAUUUGGACUCUACACCACUGCUCAUGAGAGUGUUCGGACUAUACACCACUGCUCACCUUCCUACCCCGGCCUGGUGUGGCACUUCAUCCCUUUUGCUUUUCGUGGGGUGAAGUGGAACCUCUGGCCGGUAACUUGCACGGAACAAUGUCCCAAGAAGUGGACUCAAAGUAGCUGUGCAAGUAAGGCCGACGCUCGCCAAGUCUUCUACCGGGCCGUGAUCUUCAUGGCCUGGUAAAAGCCUUUGCUCUUUGGCAGGAUAUGGCUUUUUUCAUCCUUUUAUGCUUCUUCGCUUUCCUCUUCUCCAUCUUCUUACUUUCCUCUUCUUUAUCUUCUCCCUUGGAGAUACCAUUUUGGAUGACCGAGAUAAGACCCCCAAGGAGGCGGUGCUCAAAGAUACUAACGUCGAGGAUGCACCCACGAGAAUAGAUUAGGCUUUUGGCUUUUACUAUAUGUAUACUUUUAUUUCUUUGUUUAUGUGUAAGGACCCCUAGUGGGCUUUUGUAAUCUUAUGUAAUGACCCCUCGUGGGAUUUUGUAAUCAAGUGUUUAUGAAUAUAAAGAUGUUUCUUCAAUUUGUCUCCAAUGUAUGCUAUAUUUCCCUUUAUCUAUGCUUGUGAAUAAUCUGAGUGCAUGACUCUACCGAUUGGUGCAAAUAUCAAGAUCGGGUGUGAGUAUUUCUUUUGACUUUUGAUUGAUUAACAUGGCUCCCAACAGAACCCUUUGCCAUUCCUUGGACCAAGCCCGGAUUGGACUGAUAAACUUAGGUCGUCGAGACCCUGACUUUGAGUUGAAUGAGGGUAGAGCUCCGAACCCUCAGACCGAGACUUAGCCUUUAGACCCUGCGAUAAUCUUUGAGGGGGGAUUUUCUCGAAGCCCGAGAAUAGAGACUGCCUUUAGGCUUUCGAGAACAGUCCCCGAGUGGGGGUUUGCCCAAACUCGGGCCCUGGAUACUUGUUUUGAUCUUAGUGUGGAUAGCCUGAAGGCGUUGAAGAUUGAUCCCGGAUGAGGGUUUACUCGUGUCUAGAUGGUACCUAGAGGCCAAGCCCAUAUGAGUAGAGUUUUAGUGCUUGUUUUCUCCUUGAGAGAAGCUCUCGAGAUCGGGUACCAUCUCGGGGCUUGCAAUGAUGCUGGUGGCUUCCCGGAGCCUAACUUCUUUUUGAUGGAGGUCCUCGAGAUCGGGUACCAUUUCGGGACUUGUGAUGAUGCCAAUGGCUUCCUGGAGCCUAACUUCUUUUUGAUGGAGGUCCUCGAGAUCGGGUACCAUCUUGGGACUUGCAAUGAUGNNNNNNNNNNNNNNNNNNNNNNNNNNNNNNNNNNNNNNNNNNNNNNNNNNNNNNNNNNNNNNNNNNNNNNNNNNNNNNNNNNNNNNNNNNNNNNNNNNNNNNNNNNNNNNNNNNNNNNNNNNNNNNNNNNNNNNNNNNNNNNNNNNNNNNNNNNNNNNNNNNNNNNNNNNNNNNNNNNNNNNNNNNNNNNNNNNNNNNNNNNNNNNNNNNNNNNNNNNNNNNNNNNNNNNNNNNNNNNNNNNNNNNNNNNNNNNNNNNNNNNNNNNNNNNNNNNNNNNNNNNNNNNNNNNNNNNNNNNNNNNNNNNNNNNNNNNNNNNNNNNNNNNNNNNNNNNNNNNNNNNNNNNNNNNNNNNNNNNNNNNNNNNNNNNNNNNNNNNNNNNNNNAGAUCGGGUACCAUCCCGGGACAUUCAAUGAUGCCAAUGGCUUACUGGAGCCUAAAUUCUUUUUGAUAGAGGUCCUCGAUAUCAGGUACUAUCUCAAGACUUGCAAUGAUGCCAAUGGCUUCCUGGAUCCUAACUUCUUAUUGAUGGAGGUCCUCGAGAUCGGGUACCAUCUCGGGACUUGCAAUGAUGCCAAUGGCUUCCUGGAGCCAAACUUCUUUUUGAUAGAGGUCCUCGAGAUCGGGUACCAUCUAAUAACUUAGUUGAUCUAGGGCCUUCAACCCCUAAACGUCGUAUGACGACGUCGAGUGUAUGAUAUGGUUACGAGGUGACCGAGGUGAUUUCGCUGGCAUAUAUUUCCGAAGCAACAAAAUUCUUAGCCGAUAUUUUUAAUCAGCCUUUGAAGUAGGCAGGUGGUCGUCACUUAUCCCAAAUAUAGGGUUGUCUUCACCCUUUUGGAGAUACCGCUUUUCUAAUUAGUUAUCUUAUUUCAUAGAGUUCUCCUUUCUCGUGCCAAUUUUCCUUUAACUCAAAGCUUUCGCCUAAGUCUUCAUUUCCCCUUUCUUCGUUUUACCAUAGCCAUGGCCGCUAUGCCCGAAUCCACUUGGCAAGGGGAAGGGAGCUCAAUCUCCAGGCACUUUGCUUCUGGAGGGAAUCUCCUAUCAGAAGAGGCCCCCAAUGUUCGAGGUUAUCGGGAAUAUGCUUCGAAGUUCAUUUCUUUAAAAGGAGUGGAGCACCUUGAGUUGGUGAGGAAGGACUAUGGAUGGGGAGAAAAUGUAGCAUUGCGGGUACCUUACCCGGAGGAGAGCAUCAUGGCCCAUGCCGAGGGAUUUUUGAACGUGUACAUGUACCCUUUUAUGCUGGGUCCCAUUGAUGGGGUUGUGCUUGACGUUUGUUGAAAGUACCAGGUUACCUUGGUACAGAUUCACCCGUCAUUUUGGCGGAUAGUAUUGAUGAUGAUGUUCUUUGCGGAAGACGAAGGUCUUGAAUUCACUCCUAGUCACCUUAUCUGCCUGUAUCAGCCUUUCCAUCAUCGAGGCCUGCUGACCAUGUGAUGCCGAUUCACUAUGCCUUUCGUUGUUGAUGACGAAAGAGACGGAGAUCGGGGGUGGAUAUGCCGAUUCGUCCAGAUACGGACUAUCGAUAUUAUUCCAGUGGAGUUUCUGCCAUUUGCUGAGGAAUAUAUUUUACACUUAAGUGGUACACUCAUGACUUCUUAGUUUUGUUUAUGGUGAAGGCUGGCUUCGUGAAUGCACCUUCUUUUCUUUUUCUGCAGCAAUUUCAUAGAUGCCGGACGAGGUUCCUAAUCUGCCGUAUUAGGUUCGGAAGUUGGCGACCCACUCGACUUACAAUAAGUGUAAGUGGCGAGAUUUAUCUAAGGAUAGGUGGGAGGCAAAACACCACGGUACGUGCUAUAUGAUCCGCUCCCCCCCUUUUUCUCUCGGAAGGGCGCUUUUUCUUUCUGCGUACUAACUCUAUCGUCGUAGGCAUUGGAGAGUCCCUCAAAGAGAGGUCGUGCACUUUAGGACAGGGAGAAAGAUUGCCAGCUUCCGGGCUAAAGAAUGAUAACAACAAGCAAGAAAUGCUUUUGAAGGGCGACAGUGCUCAAAGCAAGAUGAACCCAGACUGGGGGCUCGGAGAUGAUGUAUUAACUGAGCCUACUUCACUUGCGAUUUCUGGUUUUGGAAAGGCAGUUUCUCCUCCGCUGCUGUCUUCUUUUUUUGUUGAAGGUACUUCGAGGGAUACUCAAAACCCGGGAUUGUAUACAUCGAGAGACCGUAUACAUUUGGGGUUGUCUCUUCUGUGGUUGAGGGAGCCAUACUUGCAGAUGUGCGCUCGACCUUCAAGGAAGCUCAUCGGCUUCACUCCAUGGUGAGUUUUGGCACAUGCCUUUUGAGUUUCGGGCCUUUCCUUUCUUAUUGAGUUUCCUUUUGUAGGCCUUUGACAAGCUUAAGUCCGAGCUGCUUUGCCGUGAGGCCAGACUGUGGAAGGCUUUAGAUGGGGAGAAAUCCCUUAGUCUCCUUUGCGACGAAAGGGAGGUCGAGUUGGCACACUUACGGUAUGAGGUGAGUCAGAGCUUGAAUUAUGAGAGCUACAUGAAGGGACAUGUAAUUUUUGUUCCGAGAGAGUGCGUAUUCCUUCUUCUAGAUCCUGAGGCUCAUGUUUCAUUUAUUUCAGUUGCAGAAAAAGACAGAGGAUCUAGAGUGCCUUCGGAAUGAUGUUGGCCAAGUCAGGCACGAGUAUGAUGAGUUAAAGGCUCAGGCGCACGCUCAGGCUUCGGCGGAGAAGGGUGCUCUGGCUAAAGCUUCUGCCCUUGAGGUUCAACUUCGCUUAGCUCGUGAUAAUAGCUUGGUUUGAACAGAUAUGAUUACAAAGCUCGAGUCUGAGCUUUUGAAGAUAAAGGCCAAGGUUGUGGAUGACCGGGCUGAAGCUGUAAUGAGCUGAACUAAGGCUGACCAGAAAGUGGCGAUCUAUAUGAAGGACUCUGCCGAUGCUCAAGCAAAGUUGAGAAGGACUCUUGACCAUGAGGGCAGGAGCAAGGAAUACGCUCGGUGCAAGUCUCAAAGGGAAACCUUCAAGGAGAUCCAUGCUAGGAUCUUUGACUUCUCGGAAGAUGUGAAGCGGGUGAGGGCGGACCAACGUGGCACUAAGUCACUUCUGUCCAACACCGAGGAUAGCGAGGAUGAGGCCGACGGGCCAUAGUCCCCAAGGGGUACGUAGAUUUCCUUUCGCUCUUAGGCUCUUACGUGUUGGGUCGAUGCGACUUUUAUGCGGGCCGACGACAGUGGCUCUUACGCUUUUGCUCUUAGGCAUAUUUAGUUAACUAUUUUGGGUUUAGCCUCUGAAUCGAGUUUCGACUCGAGCUCAUUCGACUCUCAAGUUUUUGAAUUUAGAGCUAGCCCUUAGGCUCUUACGCAUUUGGUUGAUGCGACCUUUUAUGUGGGCUGGCGACAGUGGCUCUUAUGCCUUAGGUUGAUGCAACCUUUUAUGUGGGCUGGUGGCAAUGACUCUUAUGCCUUGGGUUGAUACGACCUUUUAUGUUGGCUUUAUUUUUCCCUCGAUAAGGAUUUUUUCAAAUAGUGUUUGCAUGACUCUUCGACGGUUUAAUAAAAAACCUCGAUUGCGAGUCAUUAUAUGGCGAUGAUCAAGCACCUUGAGAGGUUUGACUCGAAGGCUAAGUAUCUCUAAGCGAGUGUUUAGGAGCUGACAUGGUCAAAGCUCUUUAUCCUAUGUUGAGGGCAGCCUGUUUAACCGGUUCUUCCUAAGUAUAUUCAAAGUAAUUGAAGGCCUGUGAUUUAUAUCGACGGUCGGGCGUCCCUGAGUCACGUUAGUUUGGCUAAUACAGCCUUGUGACCAUAGUCAUUUGUGUUUAGCUAGAGCCUUUAAGUAUCGAGUGAAGUAGUUUCGACAUCUAUAUCGAGGGUAUGCCUCUUUAGGAGUCUUACAAGUUCGAUAUAUAGCCUAAACUUUGAGAUCAGGUUUAUGCUUUUAGUAUGGUCUUACAACUUUUAUAUGCCUUUCAGGUCUUACAGUUUUAGAUACUUGGUACAAGUAUGGUUCAUGCCUUGCUUGAGGUAUUACAGAUAUUGUUGUUGCCUUAUAUAGGUCUUACGAGAUCGAGGUUGCCCGCAUGUGGCCUUACAGCCUCGGGUUUAAGUAAGUUGAUGGAGAUGGCGUUUAACGGUAGUCCCCGAGUCAUCGAGGGUUUCUUAGCUCGGGAGACAUUACUUAUGAGCUUGAUAUUGACUCAUUAAGGGCAUGUGAUUUUGGAGUUUCUGACCCGGAGGUCAUGUGACCUUGAGUUAUCGACGCCAGUCCCCGAGUGUUUGGGACGUUUUUGGCUUUGGAGCUAUUUUGUGAUCUUGAUGUUGCCUUAUUGAGGGCUUACGAGUUAGGAGCUUUGACUCGGGGGUCGCAUUGUUUUAAGUUGCUGACGCCACUCCCCAAGUGUUCGGGACGUUUUUAAUAGAGGAGCCGUUUUUGCAAAAAAUACCAAGUUAUCUUGAAACACAAAAUGCUUUUGGGAAGUAUUCUUUGAUUACUUGGUACGUGUAUAAAUGUCUUUGCUGUUAAGGGCCCAGUUGUUCUAUACGAGCACAGUUUAUUCGACCGUUUGGCCUGAUACAUUAUGUUCCUAUCGAGCCCCUUUUGGCGUAUCUUGGCUUCUUCGAGUAGGUGACCUUUCGGGGGAUGCACCCCAGUAUUCGAGGUUGAUUACAAAAGAAUCCUUGAAUACUUGUUGAGUCUCCCAUAGGUAGCAUACGGAUGUUGCCUCGUUAAAAACCUUGCCGGUAAAACCCUUUUUGGGGUAAAAACCCAGUCGAAGGAAAAGAGUGCAACACGAGCUUUUGAAACCUAAGGACUUCAAGUUGGAGAGUGCUUUGGCCGUUUCGAUCGGAUACCUACAGUCAGGUCAGUGUAGAAUGUAAUUGAAAUAGAAAAGAGACAGUUCUACCUUAGUGCAGAAUGCGCCGGCGAUGUUUCGAGCCCUGAUAUGUUUCAGUCGCUUGUGAUGAGGAUGCGGUACAGUCCCCUACUUUGUUUAGUCGGGGAAAGCCGAGAGUGUAGCUUGUUAUCGUUAUUUUACUGUUUUCUUAUCCUUCAGCUCCUUUGAAGGUGGAGGUACCGAUGUCGGGGCCACAUCGUGCACCGUAAACAUUUCUCUCGCCGCAUGUUGUUUCCCUUAGAUGGUCUUAAUCCCAUCCUUUGUUAGGAAUUUCAUCAUUUGAUGGAUGGUGCAUGGUACUGCUCUCAUACAGUGUAUCCAUGGACUUUCGAACAGGGUGUUGUACCUCAUGUCUCGCUCGAUGACAUGGAAUUUGGCAUUUUGGGUUGUGCCAGCCACGUUGACUGGGAGGGUGAUUUCCCCAUAUAUUGUUUCGCUCGCCAUGUUGAAUCCAUUGAGCACUCGAGAGGCAGGUAUGAUUUGGUUAAGCGGUCUGAGCUGCUCUACCAUCCCCAACCUAAUAAUAUUGGCUAAGCUACCUGGAUCCACAAGUACACGUUUAAUCUGAAAUGUAUUUACAAGAAAAGAGAUUACCAGUGCAUCAUUGUGAGGCUGAGACAAAGUAUCGAUGUCCUCGUCACUGAAUGUGAGAUUAUCCUCGGGUAUAUAUCCCCGAAUUUGCUUUUCUCUAGUGAUGGAUAUUUUUGUUCUUCUCAUCGUGGGAUCUUGUGGGGCAUCGAUGCCUCCCAAGAUCAUGUGGAUGACAUGUUGUGGCUUAUUCACUUCGUUCUUCUUGGCCUCCUCUCUUUCCCGGAACUGAUUUUUGGCCCGGACGUUGAGGAACUCUCGGAGGUGACCUUUACUGAGUAGUUUUGCUACUUCUUCUCGGAGUUGGUCGCAAUCCUCGGUCCUGUGGCUGUGCGUGUUGUGGAAUUCACACACUAAGUUAUGAUUUCUUUGUGAAGGAUCUGAUUGCACAGGCCUGGCCCACCUGGCGUCUCUAAUUUUACUGAUGGCAAACACGAUGUCUCAUACAUCGACAUUGAAGUUGUAUUCCGAAAAGUGGGGUGCCUCCAUUGCCCCUGUGUGCCUAUCGAAUCCGGCUCUAUUGACGAGUCCACGAGGAUUCUGGCCUCAUUCCAUCCUUCGAUCAUUAUGGGGUAUGUUAUGCCUCGGGGCAUUUCUCCUGUCAUCGGUGUGUGGUAGGUACCUUUCCUUGUUCGGUUUUGGCUCCUAUGCCAGAAGCCUAAUUGGGUAUACCGAGCCUGAGGGGGCUCCUAAUUGGUCAUCCUCGACCCUGAUUUUUGAUUGAUAUCAAUUGUGAAUGUCCGACCAGGUCAUGGUGGGAUAUUCGACCAGAUUCUAUUUCAGCUGCUUCGAAGCCACCGAGCUUCACUCAUUCAGACCUUGAGUGAAGGCUUGUACUGCCCAAUCUUCGGAGACUGGUGGUAGUUCCAUUCUCUCCAUUUGAAAGCAAGAUACGAACUCUCGCAACAUCUCGUUCUCCCUCUGCUUGAUCUUGAAGAUGUCAGACUUCCUUGUUGCUACUUUGAUGGCACCGGCAUGUGCCUUUAUGAAAGAAUCUGCUAGCAUGGCAAAUUAGUCUAUGAAGUUAGGAGCUAGGUUGUGAUACCACAUCAUGGCCCCUUUCGAGAGUGUUUCCCCAAACUUCUUUAGCAAGACGGACUCGAUCUCGUCAUCCUUCAGGUCGUUGCCCUUCAUUGCACAAGUGUAAGCAGUAACAUACUCAUUGGUGUCAUACCUCCUUUUACACACCCGAGGGCGAUAUAAGGGAGUUUUUCCAAUUUAAGUGACAUUAUUUGAAAUGGGACUAUUUAAUUUAUUUUAGAGUCAACACUUGAAAUAUUUAUUAUGGUGUCCCAAGUCACCGAUUUAUUUUAAGUCCCAAAUUGAGGAAAUUUCGACUUUCCUUUUGAAGUCUGCGAGGGAAGGUGUUAGGCCAUGAUUUAUGCAUAAUAUUUUAUUAGGGAGUAAAUACGAUGAUCAACAAGAUCUAUUUUGUCUCAAAACAAUUGUAGCCUCAAGUUAGACUAAUUAAGUUUAGAGACCAAACAUACGGUUUAAAUAAGCCUUCCUUAUUAUACUACCAUUUGCCUAUUCCCAAAACUAUACAUAUCUCAAAGAAUUAUUGAGGCCAAAUGAAUAUGAUACAAUAAAAAUGUCCAAGACAAAAAAUAUCUACAAGAAAAGCUAAGGAAGGAAACUGGAACCACAAAUAAUUAAAGAAAACAGCUAAGACAUAUUUGAUAUGAAAAUAAUUGAAAUUGAAAUGGAACUCUAUAUGGCUUUACAUGUAACAGAAGCAAACAACGCACAUUUGGAGGCAUUUACUAAGUUGAAAGCAUUUGAUAUUAUUUUAACAAGCUAACAGAGAACAAGAAAGAAUGAACGAGAAAACGGACCUCUACGAACUCAGAAGUUCUUUUAAAAAAACGAAGCUCGGUAACGGAAAUUCAAAUAAACAACUUGUCGGAGACCUCGACGACCUUGACGGGCUGGGCUCAACUUAAGAGACCAACAACGGUUAAAGAAACUGAAGCUGCUAUGUUUUAUAGUGAAAUAGCUGGUCGGAGAUGGCGCAACUCCAGCGAAACGUCGGGAAAACCAGUGACCUAGCGAAGAUAAAUUUACAUGGAUUCAAAACCGAUUUCCAGAAUGGGAUGGACAAGCCGGAGCUGCUGCGGUUUGCUAGAUCUUUUGCUGCGUUUUCUGCUAGUGUCGUUCCGCUAGGUCUAAAUGUUGGGAGAUGAUGGCUGCUUUCUUUUUUGUUUUCUCUUUUAGAAGAUGAAGCUAGCUCUUGAAUUGUGAAAGAGAAGCCCAGAAUUCGACGGGGGAGGGGGUUCUUCUUUGAUUAGGAAACUGCGAAUCUUUUUCUAGAAGUCUUCGGCUCUCAUUUUUCUAUUAUGAUUUUGUUGUGUAUUUUUCUGAAGAACGGCAGAUCUGUAAGGUUUUUUAGUUGUCAAUGUGUAUUGCCAUUUUCAGAAAUGGUGGAUCAGUGUUUAAUAGAGUGUGUGGUUGUAGGCGUUUUAGGUUGGCUUUUAUAGAGGGUAGGGAUUAGGUUAGGGGUAUUGGCCUAGGAAUUAUGGGCAUGGUAAUUAUUGACUAGGUCCAAAAAUUAGGCCUAAAGAUGGGUUGCUCGAGCCCAAGUUUUAUUCUUUCCUCGCGAAUGAGAUUAAAAUACGAUCUCAUUUAUUAAUUAGUCCUACUUAAUUAAAACAAAUGUUAAAAUAAGACUGACCGUUAAAAUAAACUAUUUUUUUGGUAUUUUUCAAAAUUAAAAAUAACUACAAAACAUUAAUGGAAUAANNNNNNNNNNNNNNNNNNNNNNNNNACUAGAAACAUGAAGAGUUUCUAGACAAAGAAUGACUAGACAUGUUUUUUGACCCGAUCCUUAUUUAGGAAAACUGAAAGCUAAAAGAAAGGACAAUGUGACCAAGCCCUGGUAUCUGAGUUGCCUACAUAUCCUUGGCUAUAAAGGAAUCAGACCACAUGUAGUUCAGAGAUGAAUAAGGUGAUGGAGUAUGCCGAGGUGGAGAGCCGAUUAAGGUUCCGUUUCGUUGAAGUUCCAGUCAGCAGUCCUGUUAUUACAUCUAAAUCAAAAAAGAAAAAACUAACUAACCCUAUCAGCUACGAGUUACAAGAUUCCUUUCUGUGAGUCUUCUGAAGCUUGAUCUUCAGUCUUGGUUGGUUCUUCAUGCGGACUCUGAUCUGAAUCUUGAUACUUGUUAGCUGCAGGUGUUGGUUCAAUCUUCUUCCAACUUCUCAGUUCAAGGAGGGACAAGCAAAGCUUGUUACUUCAAUUACGUCUUGAGCAGUCCACAUCUUUUCUCCGCUUCUACACUUUGAGUUCACUUCUUUUUCUUUUCUUCUUUUUUAUUCUAUUUUGGAUUGAGACUACUUCUUUUGGUCGUCUCACACCCUAUGCCUCGAGGUAAAACCUACUCAGACACCAAAACAAACAAACGCACGAACUUUUUCUACCCUAGUUUUCACUAGGAAAAUUUCGUGAGUUAUUGUAACAAAAUUCAAAACUACUUCUUUAUUGAAAGCAAUAAAAUCAGGAUUGUAUAUCCUUGGGAAAAGAGAUUAGGGAGUGGAUCCCUAUAUCUAUAAUGAAAUUAACUAGGGAUUAGGGCCCAAAAUUGGAAAGAUUGCCAGGUUAUGCUGGAAAGAUGACCGAGUUAUUUCGGAAAAGAAAAGGUCCUCGAGUUAUGCCGGGUAGGUCCAUGGGUUAUGUUGGGAAAGUCAUCGGGUUAUGCCAGAGAAGCAAAGGUCCUCGGGUUAUGCCGGGGAGGUCCACGGGUUAUGUCGGGGAGGUCAUCGAGUUAUGCCGAAAAAGAAAGGUCCUCGGGUUAUGCCGAGGAGGUCCACGGGUUAUGCCGGGAAAGGUCAUCGAGUUAUGCCGGAAAAUAAAAAGGUCCUCGGGUUAUGCCGGGGAGGUACACGGGUUAUGUCGGAAAAGUCAUCGGGUUAUGCCAAAAAAGAAAAGGUCCUCGGGUUAUGCCGGGGAGGACCACGGGUUAUGCUAGGGGGAGGUCCACGGGUUAUGCCGGGAAAGGUCCUCUGGUUAUGCCGGGGAGGUUCAUGGGUUAUGCCAAAAAAGGUCAUCGGGUUAUGCCGGAAAAGAAAAAAGGUCCUCGGGUUAUACCGGGGANNNNNNNNNNNNNNNNNNNNNNNNNNNNNNNNNNNNNNNNNNNNNNNNNNNNNNNNNNNNNNNNNNNNNNNNNNNNNNNNNNNNNNNNNNNNNNNNNNNNNNNNNNNNNNNNNNNNNNNNNNNNNNNNNNNNNNNNNNNNNNNNNNNNNNNNNNNNNNNNNNNNNNNNNNNNNNNNNNNNNNNNNNNNNNNNNNNNNNNNNNNNNNNNNNNNNNNNNNNNNNNNNNNNNNNNNNNNNNNNNNNNNNNNNNNNNNNNNNNNNNNNNNNNNNNNNNNNNNNNNNNNNNNNNNNNNNNNNNNNNNNNNNNNNNNNNNNNNNNNNNNNNNNNNNNNNNNNNNNNNNNNNNNNNNNNNNNNNNNNNNNNNNNNNNNNNNNNNNNNNNNNNNNNNNNNNNNNNNNNNNNNNNNNNNNNNNNNNNNNNNNNNNNNNNNNNNNNNNNNNNNNNNNNNNNNNNNNNNNNNNNNNNNNNNNNNNNNNNNNNNNNNNNNNNNNNNNNNNNNNNNNNNNNNNNNNNNNNNNNNNNNNNNNNNNNNNNNNNNNNNNNNNNNNNNNNNNNNNNNCGCCGGAAAAGAAAAAAAAGUCCUCAGUUAUGCCGGGAAAGUUUAUCGGGAUAUGCUGGAAAAAAAAGGUUCUUGGGUUAUGCCGGGGAGGUCCACGGGUUAUGCCGGGAAAGUUCAUUGGGUUAUGCCUGAAAAGAAAAAACAAAGUCCUUGGGUUAUGCCGGGGCGGUCCACGGGUUAUCCCGGGAAAGUUCAUCGGGUUAUGCCGGAAAAGAAAAAGGUCCUCGGGUUAUGCCGGGGAGGUCCACGGGUUAUGCCGAAAAAGUUCGUCGGGUUAUGCCGAAAAAAAAAGGUCCUCGGGUUAUGCUGGGGAGGUCCACGGGUUAUGCCGGGAAAGUCAUCGUGUUAUGCCGGAAAAAGAAAAUGGUUCUUGGGUUAUGCCGGGGAGGUCCACGGGUUAUGCCGGGAAAGUAAUCAGAUUAUGCCGGAAAAGAAAAAGGUCCUCGGGUUAUGCCGGGGUUCAAUUAGGGAGUGGAACCCUAGCUUGGAAAAGACUACCAGGCUAUACUGGAAGCGACUAGGGGAGUGGUACCCUAUGUUGGAAGAGAUUACCAGGUUAUGCUGGCAUCAGCUAGGGAGUGGGACCCUAUGCUACCAUGAUUUUGAAUUUUCUUCUUCUUUAUUUGCAUUUCAUUUUUUUUAAAGAAAAUGAGUAAAGGCGGGAAAUUUUUUUGGAGAAAACUUCCAUUUUGGAGUUGUUAUUGCGAAGCUGUUUUUAUCCCUUGCGCCAUUUCUUUUUGGUUGCACCUGCUUCUUGCAAGGUUGCUUUGGAUUGCACAUAUUUUUUUUUCAAACAAAGAACAAUUUGUUAGUUUGAAACAGUGGUUGGUUUUGUGGCCUUGAGCGUUUCAGUCACUUGAUCUCGGCGCGAAUUCUUUGAUGAAGAUUUCAACUGAAACUGUUUGUUCCCUGAGGACCGAUUUCAUUUAUGACCCUGGAGAACCUCUACCAUUUCCAUACUUUGCCAUGACAGUUGGUCAUGUGGAACUUAACCUUUUCGACUUUAUUUCGCCUUUGUAGGCCUUUCAGUUCUAGCUCUCUCUUUUUUUCAAUUUUUAGCUUUGGAGCAUUAGGAAACUUUUUGGCUCCUCAAACUUGCUGCAAUGGCUAGUUGUGUGGGACUUAACCUUUUUCCAACUUUAUUUCGCCUUUAUAGGCCUUUCAUUUCUGGCUUCUUUCUUCCAACUUUAGUUUCAGAGCAUUUGGGAUCCUUGGCUUCUCAAAUCUUUGCCGAGACGGUUAGCCACGUGAGACUCAACCUUUUCAACUUCAUUUGCCUUUAUAGGCAUUUCAUUUUGAUUUUCUCCUUCCGAGAGUUUUGAAUUCGAAGCAUCGGCCGCCAUGGCCAGUCGAGGUCGACUUAAUGCCCCUAACAAGGUUGGGUGCCUUUUUGCAUAUUAGCUUGUAUCAAAUGAGAACCUUGUAAAUCAGUCUUACCAUCCUUUCUUUGUCUUAGUUUCGGAAUAGAGUUAGACCGAAAGGGAUUUAAAGAAAAGCAAACAAUGGAAUGUACAAUGAAUUUAAACGAGAGGUAUCCCUUUUGGGGAGAAGAAAGAAUGACUUAUUUGGAGUGCAUGCGGACUUCAAUGAACAUGACAUGCCUUUUGGAUUGGAUGCAUGAUCUGUGUAAACUGUCCGACUCUCAUAAAUUCAUCACAACUUUGCCUUGGAACCGAGGAACCUCGCGAGGACUCUAUUGAUGCUGAUGGUUGCGAGGAUCCUCUUUUCGAUCAGGGGCGCCAUUUGCGGGUUUUCAUGAGCUGACCUCUCUCAUUUCUCUUCUCACCAUCGCCUUAUAGUACUCUUUGCGAGUUUUCACUAACAAGACUCUCUCAUUUUCAAUUUCUCUGCUUACCAUCGCCUUACGGUGCCCGCGUGGAUUUUCACUAAUAAGACUCUCUCAUUUUUUAUUUCUCUCAUUUUGAUUGCAUCAUAUCCAAGUAGUUGCAUUCUCCGAUCCUUGAACAUUCUCACCGAUUGAUCAGAAGGACUUGAAAGGUUUUGCACUAAAUUACAACUUUGGAACCAUUCAGGCGGGAUCAUCGCCGAACCAUUACAACAUCUGCCCCGAUUUCACUUUUGGGGGAAUUUGAAUUUUUGUUUUGGUGUGACUGAACUCUAGAGAGAGGCUGCCUACGUAUCCUUUCGGAAUCAAGUCGAACGUAGUUCAGGGAAACUUUUUUUUUAUCUUUUUUUGUUUUUUCUUCUGUUUUGUUUUUCUCUUUCUUUUUCCUUUCCUUUUCCUCUCUUUUAAUUUCAUUUUCUUUGUUUUUUCUUCCUUUUUUUUUCUUCUAGUUCAUUUUUUUCAUUUUUCCAAUUCUUUUUUUUUCUUUUUUUCAUUUUUUUUCAAUGACACUUUCAAGUUCCAAAGAGGGUAGUCAAAGAACGGUAACCGGCUCAAAGGGUUGAUAGUGUUUGGGUAGAGAGAAUAAAAGCCUUUUUCAUCCCAACCGGAGAACAUUAAUAUUAUAUAGAGGAUCCAACAUAGUACCUUUUGGCUGCAUUUGCAUUGACAACUGUUUCAAGGACAUUCCUUUCGACGUGUCCCAAAUACAAUGCACUCUUUUGGCAGUACUCUUGUUGCAAUGUAUGGACCUUUCUAAUCUGGAACCAAUUCCCUUCAGCUGUUCCGACUCCUUGUUUUGUUUCCUUAACUUAUCUUCAUUGUAAUCUAAUUCUUGAUUCAUUAUUUCGAGGUCUGACAGCGUUUCAGGAUCUGGGCAUGAAGUCCACAAGCAUGUCAUGCUAUUGAAAUCUGCAUUUAACAGAACUAAAAAGAGAAUGAGAAAAAUGACAAGAUUAAGAAAAGAGACAUUCCUAGAAAAUGAAAUAUUAAUUUCGUUUGAUUUUUGAUUGAUUUUUUUUUUCAAUUUUUUAAGAUAGAAGGGUUUACAUCGGAAAGUAAGACAAUAAGGUAAAACAUCCGGAUCACACCUUGAGAUAAUCCGAACACAGAAAGGAUAGAAAGACUAGCUACCGAGACUCCCAUCAGAUGGGGAACUUUCAUGCUUGGCGACCAUUUUUUGGCUUUUCUUCUGUCUCGACAAUGGCUGCAAUGGCUUUGUGCUGGGUAAAAUUCCUCACCUUCACAAAUCAUUCCGACUAUUGGCCCGUUGUUAUGGGUAGGCAACAAAUUGUUCAUCAUAUUAGGAGCUUCUUCAUCCAGAAAAACGAUUCUUUCAGCUUCAAUCAAAUCUUCAACUGCCAUUUUAAGGGUCCAAUAGUCCUCCGUACUGUGUCCCACUGCACCAGAGUAGUGCGAGGGGGACUCGGGGUUUGGCUAGUUCGGGGUCACUAGCUGCAAUAGAUCUAGCCUGAUUAGCUUUUGGGACAAGCUUGAAUACGAUUCACCAAUAGGGGUGAACUGAUUCUUUCUGAAAGGCUCUCUUGGGCGAGAAUUGUAUUGGGGAUCAUUUGGUUGAUGAUUAUAUAGAGCUUGGUAAGGAUGAGCAUUUCUGGGAGGUGGAGCUUGGUUUUGUGUAUAAUGUUGUGGCUGCGCGUAAUAUUACACGCUCAUCACCACAUAUGGAGGCAGUGCCAUGGCAUAAGUACCAUUUUGAAGGGGAUAAUAGUGUGGUGGGACUAUUGGAGGCACAUAUGACUGGCUGAAUGACCUGCGGGCCCCCCUCGAGCUUGAAACUAUCAUGUCUCCCUCCUCAACCCCAUUUCCAUUUGUCAAACCCUCUAAACCAUUUUGAAAAUCUGAUGAUGGGGCUUUAAAAGCAGCAUGACUCAAGAUUCGGCCUGUUUUUAGACCGUUUUCAACCAUUUCCCCAAUUUUGAUAGCCUCAGCAAAUGACUUUCCCAUAGCGGACAUCAUGUUUUGGAAGUAGUCCGCCUCUUGGGCCUGUAGAAAGACUGUGACCAUUUCAAUUUUAUCCAUUUGAGGCUUUACCCUGGCAGGUUGCUCACGCCAUUUGACAGCAUAUUCGCGAAAGCUUUCCACAUUUUUCUUUUUUCAUAUUGGACAAAGUGUUUUUGUUGGGAGCGAUGUCCACAUUAUAUUGGAACCGACGGAUAAAAUCUCGAGCCAUAUCGUCCCACAUAUGCCAAUGAGUAAUUGCUUGAUCCGUGUACCACUUAGAAGCGAUUCCAAUGAGGCUUUCCCCAAAAUAGGUCAUUAGCAGCUCCUCUUUUCCACCAUCACCCCACAAUUGGUUACCGUAUCAUUUCAGAUGAGCGGCCGGGUCUCCAUGCCUGUCGUACUUUUCAAAUUUUGGCGUCUUGAAACCAACUGGAAAGUGGACAUGGGGAAACAUACAGAGGUCAGAGUAUGAGACACUAUUUUGCCACUCAAACCUUGCAUGUUUUUUAGGCUUUGUUCCAAGUUCUUCAUCUUCUGAGCCAUUUCCUCUUGCUCGGGAUUUUUAACAACCUUUUUUUACCCCACCGAGAGAUCAUAUUGCGGAGGUUGAGUGAAAGGGUAUGGGUUCACAUAUAUUUCUGACUGAAGUUGUAGACCCUGAAAGGUGAACAUUGGAGGCUCAAUAUACGACUGUGGUAAAGUUGGUUGUGCCCUGAAACCUGGCACCUAGGGGCAAACCAAAAAAGGCAUGCCAGGAUCAUUAGAGGGCAUUGGAAGGUGCCCUCAUGGAAUGAGAAAUUUUGGCACAGGGGCAUUGGUAACCUGUCCUGACCUGGGGAUCAGUUCAGGGAACCCAGGGAUGGUACUUGGCGGUUUCCUACCAUUGGACCAGGCGUCCCACAUUUCCAAUAUGCGGAGACGCAACAUCUUAUUCUCUUCAGCAAUUGUUGAUUCUAGCUGCAGAAUAGCCGAUGUUGGGCUAUCCUCAAGAUCGAUGAUUGGUAGAUUGCUUGCGGAGGCCAUCUGUGCCUUUGGAUUUUGUGAAGGAGGGGAGACUAGACUACAACAAAACCAACCACAAAAACCUGGCUAGUUUGCAUAUCUAACAACCUUGUUAGUUUUGAAACACUUAACAUAUAGGAAAUCGCUCGUUGGGAUGCAAUGCACCUAACAGUUAAACGCUUAUACCAUGUGUUUGAACGGUUGCAUGUUUUAUCCCGACCUUAACUAGCCAUUUUCACUUUGUACCUCUAUUCUUCAUUUCUGCCUCUCUUUAAUCACUCUUGAUUUUUCUUUCAUCUCACCGCUCUUUUAUUUUUGCACUCUCUUUUUCUCUUUUGUUUGUCACUCUUUAUUUCUUGUCGCUCCUUUUUUCCGCUCUUUUCUUUCUUUUCCACUCAAUUUUUUUUCUGUCUUUUCCUUUUCUCUUUUUUUUAACUCAAUUUUUCUUUCUCUUUUUUUUUUCAAUUUAUUUUUCACUCAAUUAAUUCUGUGGUUACGAUCGAAUACAAUGGGGAUUGCUUACGUAUCACGACCCCGCAUGAAUCAGAUCUUGCGUAGUUCGGGAAGAUUGAGAAUGAAGUAAAUAAACUAACUUUUUUUUGGUUAGAAUUUUUGAAAGAAAUGCUUUAAAAGAAGAAAGGAAAUAUUUUUUUUUGAUUUUUUGAAUUUUAAUUUUUGUUUAUUUCUUGAAAGAAAGACUUCUAAAAAAAAUCAUUUGCUUUUGAUUUAAACUUUGGGAAUUUUAAAAAGUACAAAAAUAAAAUAUUUUUGUUUGAAUUUUUAUUUGUUUUCUCUUUUUCUAAAGAAGAAAGAAAAAAUAUUUUUGGAUUUUGGAUGUUGGCUCUUAAUUUUCGAAAGAGGGACUUUUUUGAGAAACAUAUUUUGGAUUUCUGAGUUUUUAUUUAUUUACAAAAAUACUUCAAAAGAAAAGUGAAUUUUUUUUUGGACUUCAAUUUUUCAAAACAUUUUUUUUGUUGACAUUUACGAAAGAAAUACUUUUAAAGAAAGAACCGAAUAUUUCCCCUUUUUUGGUUUUUUUUUAUUUUUUUGAAAAAAUACUUCAAAAUAAAGGAAACCCGUAUUUCGGAUUUUUAUUCUUUUUGAUUUUGAUUAUAUUUCUUUUACCAUAUGAAAGACUUCAGAAAGAAGGAAACUAUUUUUGAGUUUAAAAAAAACUUUUUUUUUCGAAUUUUCUAAGGAAAGAUGUCUAAAAGAAGGAAUUAAAAGAGAAUAUUUUUUUGGAUUUAUUUUUGGAAAAUUGGGGCCGGAACCGAUGAGGUUUGCCUACGUAUCUCACAUUCGGUGAGAAUCAGGCCCGCGUAGUUCGGUCAGUUCUGACAGAAUAAGGGAAACAUGUCACUUGAAUAUUUUGGCUCAUUUUGAAAUAACUUUUCUUUUCCAGAAUAUCGGCAGAGUUUCAGAAUUUUCUAGAUACCUACCUCACUUUUUUUUUUGAUUUUUUUUUAUUUUCUUUUUUCUUCUAGAAGUCGGUCAACAUGCAAGCCGAAUCAAAUAAUUGUACUAGUAGCACGUAAGAUGUAUCAAGAUAGUCUUUUUAAUUUGGGUACACCUGUCCUAGACGGACCCAACCCCUGUGUUGAGUCCCCAAAGUCAAAUGCACAUGAUGCAACCAAAUGUUCCUACUAGGGAUCCGGCAUGAGGCUGAGUUAUUCUAGGCUUUAAAACCUAGGUAUGUUGUUCUAGACUUGGUGCACCCAAGUGGACAACUCGAGCUGAGGGGGAGCUACGUACCGGGAACCAAAUGGCCAUCCGGCUUUGUAACUUGUCCGAGCCUCUUUCUAAUUCAAGGUAUGACACUAACAGAAGGUGGAGUCACGCCAGCAUGCACAUCCCCGAAGAUGAGAAGAGAAGUGUUUCGUAACAGUUUAAAUACAAUUCAAUUAAUAUCAAAGAGGUGAAAAGCGACAUUUAGCAUAUUAGGCCCAAACAUGUAAUAAAAAUCAGAUAAUAAAUAAAAGCCAAUUAUAAAAGUUAUUCUAAGCUCUAAUUCUUGAACCCUGAACCAAAGUUCUGGGUUUUGAUCCCCAGCAGAGUUGCCAGAGCUGUCACACCUCCUUUUUAUACACCUGAGGGCGAUAUAAAGGAGUUUUUCCAAUGUAAGUGACAUUAUUCGAAAUGGGACUAUGUAAUUUAUUUCAGAGUCACCACUUGGGAUAUUUAUUAUGGUGUCCCAAGUCACCGGUUUAUUUUAUGUCCCAAAUCGAGGAAAUUUUGACUUUUCUUUUGAAGUCUGCAUACCAGAAAUUCUGAAUAAGGAAUUUUGUUAACCCGACGGAAGGUAUUAGGCACCACCCCAUUCCUUGGUUCUAGCACGGUCGCUUAACCCAUUAUAAUUGGCCUAUUAUCUGAUUUUAAUACAUGUUUUAGCCUAUGGUAUAUUUUAACUUAUUUAAACCGCUUUUAAUUAAUUUAGGAAGAUUCAACGUCAUCUAAAACAUGUCUUGAACCACGUCACAUAAAUGCACCCGCGGUCCCCGACACAUUUUAUCUAACGUUGUUGAGAUUUGAAUUUGGGUCACAUAAAUGUACACCCGAAUUUAGGAAUAAGGUAUCAUGACUAUGUCAUGGUAACUGUACCGAUAGUCACGGUCUUUUAUUAUUAAUUGCGCCUAAAGUAAGCUAUGAUAUUCAUAAUUAUUGAAGAUUGUUGUAAUGCCAUGCUUUAUGCAUCAAAUUUUAUUAGGGAGUAAAUAGGAUGAUUAACAAGAUCUAUUUUAUCUCAAAUCAAUCGGAGCCUCAAGUUAGACUAAUUAAGUUUAGAGACCAAACAUACGGUCUAAAUAAGCCUUCCUUAUUAUACUACAAUUUGCCUAUUCCCAAAACUAUACAUAUCUCAAAGAAUUAUUGAGGCCAAAUGAAUAUGAUACAAUAAAAAGGUCCAAGACAGCAAAUAUCUACAAGAAAAUCUAAGGAAGGAAACUGGCACCACAAAUAAUUAAAGAAAACAUCUAAGACAUAUUUGAUAUGAAAAUAAUUGAAAUUGAAAUGGAACUCUCAUGGAUUUAUAUGUAACAGAAGCAAACAACGCACAUUUGUAGGCAUUUACUGAGCUGAAAGCAUUUGAUAUUAUUUUAACAAGCUAACAGACAGCAAGAAAGAAUGAACGAAAAAAUGGACCUCUACAAACUCAGAAUUUCUUUUAAAAAACGAUGCUCGGUAACGGAAAUUCAAAUAAACAACACACUGGAGACCUCGACGACCUUGACGGGCUGGACCCAACUUAAGAGACCAACAGCGGUUAAAGAAACUGAAGCUUCUACAUUUUAUAGUGAAAUAGCUGGUCGGAGAUGGCGCAACUCCGGCAAAACGCCGGGAAAAGCAGUGACCUAGCGGAGAUAAAUUUGUAUGGCUUCAGAAUGGAUUUCCAGAGCGGGAUGGAGAAGCCGGAGCUGCUGCGGUUUGCUAGAUCUUUUGCUGCGUUUUCUGCUAGCGUCGUUUCGCUAGGUCUCAAUGUUGGGAGAUGAUUGCUGCUUUCUUUUUUGUUUUCUCUUUUAGAAGAUGAAGCUAGCUCUUGAAUUGUGAAAGAGAAGCCCAGAAUCCGACGGGGGAGGGGGUUCUUCUUUGAUUAGGAAACUGCGAAUCUUUUUCUAGAGGUCUUCGACUCUCAUUUUUUUGUUCUCAUUUUGUUGUGUAUUUUUCUGAGGAACGACAGAUCUGUAAGGUUUUUUAGGUGUCAAUGUGUACUGCCAUAUUCAGAAACGGUGGAUCAGUGUUUAAUAGAGUGUGUGGUUGUAGGCGUUUUAGGUUGUCUUUUAUAGAGGGUAGGGAUUAGGUUAGGGAUAUGGGCCUAGGAAUUAUGCGGUUG